CAGUCGCCGCGGUAAUACGUAGGUGGCAAGCGUUGUCCGGAAUUAUUGGGCGUAAAGCGCGCGCAGGCGGAUCGGUCAGUCUGUCUUAAAAGCUCGGGGCUUAACCCCGUGAUGGGAUGGAAACUGCCAAUCUAGAGUAUCGGAGAGGAAAGUGGAAUUCCUAGUGUAGCGGUGAAAUGCGUAGAGAUGUGGAGGAACACCAGUGGCGAAGGCGACUCUCUGGUCUGUAACUGACGCUGAGGAGCGAAAGCGUGGGGAGCGAACAGGAUUAGAUACCCCGGUAGUCCCUGUCUCUUAUACA
rnacentral:rRNA from 1 species